GGAGCGGGGGCGCACGGUGACUCAGGUAAUCCCACUUCGCUGGUGGUUUGCUCUCCAAACACAGCAGAGUCCACACCCUGCAAUGGAACAGGGUGGACACGACGUCAGCAGCAAUAAACACUGUGAUUACACCAAGCACUGAAGCAGACAGAAGUCCUCUCUCUGCCAGAACACCAGGGGACGCACACGAUGACUCAUGAGAUACAGACUGACAAAUCUUCUCUGCAAAGGUCAGGCUGGGUUAACCGUCAUGGUUCAGGUCUGAGGGAAGCUGUCCUCACCUGAUUGGUGCAAACGUGGGCUGGGACUCAGAUCCGUCACCUGAUUGGUUCCUUACAAACACGUACCCAAAACCUUUCUCUUGAUGACAAACCUCAGCUGAGCUCCGUGUGGUGGUGGAUUCCACCAUCAGCUGCUGCAGUCGUCUACCGCUAGGUGGCACUCUGAGACCAUUAAUUGGCAGCUGUGCGCACUGUGGGCAGAUGGAGGCUGGGAUUAAGAGGCUCUGGAGCCAUGAGUGGCGCUGUGUAGCUUACACAGCUUUUCUGGCCUGUACUGGACCACACAGACACUGAUCAACAGCUGAGCGCAGCCACGAGGCGCUGCAACUGCUCUAGUGCAGUUUCCCUCAACCCUGAUGCACCAAAAGGACAGUUUGAAGAAAACAGUACAGUCCAUUAUAAAGAUUAAAGGUUUUUACUGCUUCCCUCAAUCUGUUGCUACUGCUCGUAGGCCAUAUUGCACACAGAAACCGAGUGGAAACAAUAAACAGCAGUGACAGCAGCUUGCAGCUGUCACAUGUUUGGUAAUUGUAUAUGUUUGCCACAAGUUAGUAAUCCCCACAGCUUGCCCUAUCUGCCUCCAGCAGCAUUAACACAUGCAGACAUCACAGCCACGAUAGAACCCAAAGGUGAGGCUUCACCACCACACUCGCAUUCAACAGAUAAAACAAACGCUGUCCGUGAGUGGAAGCGGUGUCACCUUCAGG